UACAGAGGUCUCGAGCGUUAGGCGGAAUCACUGGGCUUAAAGCGCGUGUAGGCGGUUGUUCAAGUCAGGUGUGAAAGCCUUGAGCUCAACUCAAGAAAUGCACUUGAUACUGGAUGACUAGAGGACCGGAGAGGAUAGUGGAAUUCCCAGUGUAGUGGUGAAAUACGUAGAGAUUGGGAAGAACACCAGUGGCGAAGGCGGCUAUCUGGACGGUUUCUGACGCUAAGACGCGAAAGCGUGGGGAGCAAACAGG
rnacentral:rRNA from 1 species